rnacentral:rRNA from 1 species
AACGAACGCUGGCGGCAUGCCUAACACAUGCAAGUCGAACGAGACCUUCGGGUCGAGUGGCGCAGGGGUGCGUAACGCGUGGGAACCUGCCCUGAGGCUCGGUAUAACUCCCCGACAGGGGUGCUUAUACCGGAGAAUGUCCGCGGACCAAAGAUUUAUCGCCUUUGGAUGUGCCCGCGUUAGAUUAGCUAGUUGGUAGGGUAAAAGCAUACCAAGGCGACGAUCUGUAGCUGGUCUGAGAGGAUGAUCAGCCACACUGGGACUGAGACACGGCCCAGACUCCUACGGGAGGCAGCAGUGGGGAAUAUUGGACAAUGGGCGAAAGCCUGAUCCAGCCAUGCCGCGUGAGUGAUGAAGGCCUUCGGGUUGUAAAGCUCUUUUAGCCGGGAUGAUAAUGACAGUACCGGGAGAAUAAGCCCCGGCUAACUCCGUG